UUAGAAGUAAUGACUUGCUCACAUAUUACACUUUUAAGAUGAGUCGUCUCAUUUCUAGCAUGGUGUUCUCAUGCUUCAUGUUCGUUGUUCUUCUCGUGGCAUCCACUACGAACGCUGGACGGGAUAUAGAUCCUAAUAUCUCAGGACUCAAGAACCGACUAUUGCCACAACUUAAUACUUGUGGAAGAACAUGUUCCACCGACGAGGAUUGCAGUGAUUGCUGGUGGUGUUGUAGCUGUGGAAACAAUCUUUUUUAUUUUCCUGAAAAACAAUGUUUUCAUUAGGCUACAUGCAAUUGGGACAUUAUUGUUCAAUUGCAACGGAUUAGACAAAUCCAUGUAAUGCAUGCAUUCGUUUUUUCGGUUGCUUUUAGUGUUUUCCUUUAUCUGUUCUAUGUUUAUUUGUCUUUUAUGUUUUGUACGAAUAAUGAAGAAAUUCAACUGAAUGAUUUUCUAUAAUUUUAGCACUUGUAUAAUUCAUCAUAAUUUGUCAGAGAUUUAUUUAUU